AAAGGAAUUGACGGGGGCCCGCACAAGCAGUGGAGUAUGUGGUUUAAUUCGAAGCAACGCGAAGAACCUUACCAGGUCUUGACAUCCCGAUGACCGCACUAGAGAUAGUGCUUCUCUUCGGAGCAUCGGUGACAGGUGGUGCAUGGUUGUCGUCAGCUCGUGUCGUGAGAUGUUGGGUUAAGUCCCGCAACGAGCGCAACCCUUACGGUUAGUUGAUACAUUAAGAUGAUCACUCUAGCCGGACUGCCGUUGACAAAACGGAGGAAGGUGGGGACGACGUCAAAUCAUCAUGCCCCUUAUGACCUGGGCUACACACGUACUACAAUGGCAGUCAUACAGAGGGAAGCAAUACCGCGAGGUGGAGCAAAUCCCUAAAAGCUGUCCCAGUUCAGAUUGCAGGCUGAAACUCGCCUGCAUGAAGUCGGAAUUGCUAGUAAUCGCGGAUCAGCAUGCCGCGGUGAAUACGUUCCCGGGCCUUGCACACACCGCCCGU
rnacentral:rRNA from 1 species